rnacentral:rRNA from 1 species
CAAUACCUCCUAGAGGUGGCGGACUGGUGAGUAACACGUGGGUGACAUACCCUUCAGAUGGGGAUAGCUAUUAGAAAUAGUAGAUAAUACCGAAUACGAGCACAGGGGUUAGAGAUCUGUGAGGAAAGGAGCUAAGGCUCCGCUGAAGGAAUGGCCUGCGGCCCAUUAGCUAGUUGGUGAGGUAAGAGCCCACCAAGGCGAUGAUGGGUAUCCGGCCUUAGAGGGUGAACGGACACAUUGGGACUGAGAUACGGCCCAGACUCCUACGGGAGGCAGCAGCUAAGAAUAUUCCGCAAUGGACGAAAGUCUGACGGAGCGACGCCGCGUGGAUGAAGAAGGCCGGAAGGUUAGUAAAAUUCCUUUUGAAACUGAAGAAUAAGCGUUGUAGGGAAUGACAGCGUGGUGACAGUUAGGUUUUGAAUAAGCAACGGCUAAUUACGUGCCAGCCGCCGC